rfam:Oryza sativa Japonica Group DNA, chromosome 5, cultivar: Nipponbare, complete sequence.
UUAAACUGUUUAUAUCCAAUUAUAUUCAAUAUUUGACCGUCUGUCUUAUUUAAAAUUUUGAUGAUUAAUAUUUUUUUUAUUAGAUGAUAAAACAUAAAUAGUACUUUAUGUAUGGCUAUUUUUUUAAUUUUUUAUAAACUUUUUAAAUAAAACGGACAAUCAAACGUUGGAUACGGAAAUCCAUAACUGUACUUAAA